rnacentral:rRNA from 1 species
CCUACGGGUGGCUGCAGUGAGGAAUAUUGGUCAAUGGACGAGAGUCUGAACCAGCCAAGCAGCGUGAAGGAAGACUGCCCUAUGGUUUUUAAACUUCGUUUAUAGGGGAAUAAAAUGUCACACGUGUGGGAUUAUGCAUGUACUAUAUGAAUAACAACCGGCUAACUCCGUCCCAGCAGCCGAGGUAAUACGGAGGAUCCGAGCGUUAUCCGGAGUUAUUGGGUUUAAAGGGAGCGUAGGUGGAUUGUUAAGUCAGUUGUGAAAGUUUGCGGCUCAACCGUGAAAUUGCAGUUGAAACUGGCAGUCUUGAGUGCAGGAGAGGUGGGCGGAAUUCGUGGUGUAGCGGUGAAAUGCUUAGAUAUCAGGAAGAACACCGGUUGCGAAGGCAGCUCACUGGACUGCAACUGACGUUGAGGCUCGAAAGUGUGGGUAUCAAACAGGAUUAGAUACCCGGGUAGUC